CUUCCUAAACCCCAUUCUUAUCCUCGGCCAUGGCUUCCUCUGUUCUCGCCGCCGCCAAGCCUCUCCUCCACCCUUCUCAUCCUCGUACUCCUCCUCCAUCUCGUGGCGCAGGUGGCCCUUGCCUCCGCUGGAGCCUCUCGGCCUCGCGUAGGAGCGCCGCGCUCAGGGUUCACGCCCUCAAAUGUGAACCGUCCAAGAUAGCUCCGCAAGCCGAUCGGGUACUCGUUCGUCUCGAGGAGCUCCCCGAGAAAUCUGCUGGUGGAGUACUACUUCCAAAGUCAGCUGUUAAGUUUGAACGGUAUCUAAUGGGUGAGAUUCUGUCUGUUGGCUCUGACGUCACUGAGGUGGAAGCUGGGAAGAAGGUUCUUUUCUCAGACAUUAAUGCAUAUGAGGUGGACUUGGGGACGGACACGAAGCACUGUUUUUGCAAAGCCAGUGAUCUGCUAGCUGUUGUCGAGUAGAUAUCUAGUAAAUUUAUCAUGUUUGGUCUUCUUAGGUCUGCAUGGUGAUCUAAGUGCAGUCUUUUUCUUCUUGGGUAACCUAGCCUUCCGAGUAUAAUGUUUGGAGAAGAACAGGUAUAUGUCUGUCCACUUCUUUGGGUAACCUAGCUUACAAGUGACAUACUGUAGCAGCAUUGUCAUGUUAGAUUGCAUGUAUAUGAUUUAGGGAAAAACCCUCCAUUUGUUUUGUUUUUUGGUCCAGCGUUCCCUACUGGAAAUGCUAGUAAGAUUAGUAUUAAUACAUUCUAUGGAUCGGUUCAUAGGAUAAAUUGAUCCAAUCUCUAUACAUAA